rnacentral:rRNA from 1 species
GACGAACGCUGGCGGCGUGCUUAACACAUGCCAGUCGAACGGAAAGGCCCUGCUUUUGUGGGGUGCUCGAGUGGCGAACGGGUGAGUAACACGUGAGUAACCUGCCCUUGACUUUGGGAUAACUUCAGGAAACUGGGGCUAAUACCGGAUAGGAGCUCCUGCUGCAUGGUGGGGGUUGGAAAGUUUCGGCGGUUGGGGAUGGACUCGCGGCUUAUCAGCUUGUUGGUGGGGUAGUGGCUUACCAAGGCUUUGACGGGUAGCCGGCCUGAGAGGGUGACCGGCCACAUUGGGACUGAGAUACGGACCAGACUCCUACGGGAGGCAGCAGUGGGGAAUAUUGCACAAUGGGCGGAAGCCUGAUGCAGCAACGCCGCGUGCGGGAUGACGGCCUUCGGGUUGUAAACCGCUUUCGCCUGUGACGAAGCGUGAGUGACGGUAAUGGGUAAAGAAGCACCGGCUAACUACGUG